UUAAAUUGAAGAGUUUGAUCAUGGCUCAGAUUGAACGCUGGCGGCAGGCCUAACACAUGCAAGUCGAACGGUAACAGGAAGCAGCUUGUUGCUUCG
rnacentral:rRNA from 1 species